AGAGUUUGAUCAUGGCUCAGAACGAACGCUGGCGGCAGGCCUAACACAUGCAAGUCGGGCGAGAAACCACCUUCGGGUGGCGGACAGCGGCGGACGGGUGAGUAAUGCGUGGGAAUAUGCCCUUUGGUACGGAAUAGCCCCUGGAAACGGGGAGUAAUACCGUAUGUGCCCUACGGGGGAAAGAUUUAUCGCCAAAGGAUUAGCCCACGUUGGAUUAGCUUGUUGGUGAGGUAAAGGCUCACCAAGGCAACGAUCUAUAGCUGGUUUGAGAGGAUGAUCAGCCACACUGGGACUGAGACACGGCCCAGACUCCUACGGGAGGCAGCAGUGGGGAAUAUUAGACAAUGGGCGAAAGCCUGAUCUAGCCAUGCCGCGUGAGUGAAGAAGGCCCUAGGGUUGUAAAGCUCUUUCAGAUGUGAGGAUGAUGACAGUAACAUCAGAAGAAGCCCCGGCUAACUUCGUGCCAGCAGCCGCGGUAAU
rnacentral:rRNA from 1 species